GAAAUGCGAAAAGCAAUGCGAAUUGCAGAAUUCCACGAAUCAUCAGAUCUUUGAACGCAAGUGGCGCCGAGCGGAUAUCCGUUCGGUACGUUUGUUUCAGUGUCUUCUUUAUUCAUACAACUCAAUGUGAUUGAUGUCUUUUCUUAAAGAUAUCUCUCAUGAAAUGAGUAUGUGGUGUUACACACACACAACGAAGUAGUCACAUUCUCCAAUGUGAUCUCGUUGUUGUACAAGUGCUGUACUCUCAUCACAUGGAGUAAUUUAUAAACUUCAAAUAAUAUCUGAAAUCAAGCGAGAUGACCCGCUGAACUUAA
rnacentral:misc_RNA from 1 species